UACGUAGGGGGCAAGCGUUGUCCGGAAUUUAUUGGGCGUAAAGGCGCGCGCAGGCGGUCCUUUAAGUCUGAUGUGAAAAGCCCCAGCGGCUUAACCGUGGAGGGUCAUUGGAAACUGGAGGACUUGAGUGCAGAAGAGGAGAGUGGGAAUUCCACGUGUAGCGGUGAAAUGCGUAGAUAUGUGGAGGAACACCAGUGGCGAAGGCGACUCUCUGGUCUGUAACUGACGC
rnacentral:rRNA from 1 species